rnacentral:rRNA from 1 species
GACGAACCGUGCAAGCGUUGUCCGGAAUUAUUGGGCGUAAAGCGCGCGCAGGCGGUUAUUUAAGUCUGGUGUUUAAACCUUGGGCUCAACCUGGGGUCGCACUGGAAACUGGGUAACUUGAGUACAGAAGAGGAAAGUGGAAUUCCACGUGUAGCGGUGAAAUGCGUAGAGAUGUGGAGGAACACCAGUGGCGAAGGCGACUUUCUGGGCUGUAACUGACGCUGAGGCGCGAAAGCGUGGGGAGCGAACAGG